CGGAAAAACGGGCCGGGCCUACACAUGCCAGUCGAACGGUAACGGAAUACCUUUUUUCUUUGCUGACGAAAGGGGGACGCGAUUAAAAAAGUCUGGGAAACUGGAGGGAGGAGGGGGAGAAAUACUUGUAAAAGGUAGGUAAUAUUGCAUAAUGUCGCAAGAUCAAAAAGGGGGACCUUCGGGCCUCUUGCCUUCGGAUGUGCCCCGAUGGUAUUAGCUUGUAGGUGGGGUAACGGCUCCCCCAGGCAACAAUCCCUAGCUGGUCUGAGAGGAUGACCAGCCACACUGGAACUGAGAAACGGCCCACACUCCUACUGGAGGGAGCAGUGGGGAAUAUUGCACAAUGGGGGCAAGCCUGAUGCUGCCAUGCCGCCCGUAUGAAGAAGGCCCUCCGGUUGGAAAGCACUCCUCUCUCGUGGAGGAAGGGAGUAAAGUUAAUACCUGUUGCUCAUUGCACGGUUACCCGCCAUUAAGCACGCAUCCCGGCUACACUCUCGUGCCGAGCGAGCCGACCCGUCAAUAUCGAGACGGGAUGCAGAGCGUUUAAUCUGGACAUCUACGUGGAGCGGUAAAGACUGCACAGCGUGGACGGUCUUGUUUAGAGAUCUACCAUCGUAGACAAUACGCCUCGUGGUCUACAUACCUGGGUGACACUGACAUCUAGUAUACAUGAGCAUAGCUUUAGAUUCUUCGUACGAGUGGGCGGAUAGAACCUCCAUGAGUAUCAGCUGGUAGAAAUCGCUCUAGAAGAUCUAGGAGAGAAUAUCCGGGUAGGCAUAUAAGUCGGCUCCCUCUGCGACAAAAGUACUGACGGCAUCAGCGCUGCGAAAAAGUCGUUGCUCGCAGCAGAACCCGUGAUUACGCAUACCCCUUGGGUAGUCCCUACUUCUCAUAAUACAGAUGUUCCGCACUUCGCCACGUGUUUGUGCCCCCUUUGACCGCCGUCGUCCUUCCCGCGAACCUAGACCGCAGUAUAACGGUCCGAACCCGCCCUUGGAGG
rnacentral:rRNA from 1 species